rnacentral:rRNA from 1 species
GACGAACGCUGGCGGCGUGCUUAACACAUGCAAGUCGAACGGAAAGGCCCUGCUUUUGUGGGGUGCUCGAGUGGCGAACGGGUGAGUAACACGUGAGUAACCUGCCCUUGACUUUGGGAUAACUUCAGGAAACUGGGGCUAAUACCGGAUAGGAGCUCCUGCUGCAUGGUGGGGGUUGGAAAGUUUCGGCGGUUGGGGAUGGACUCGCGGCUUAUCAGCUUGUUGGUGGGGUAGUGGCUUACCAAGGCUUUGACGGGUAGCCGGCCUGAGAGGGUGACCGGCCACAUUGGGACUGAGAUACGGCCCAGACUCCUACGGUAGGCAGAAGUGGGGAAUAUUGCACAAUGGGCGGAAGCCUGAUGCAGCAACGCCGCGUGCGGGAUGACGGCCUUCGGGUUGUAAACCGCUUUCGCCUGUGACGAAGCGUGAGUGACGGUAAUGGGUAAAGAAGCACCGGCUAACUACGUG